rnacentral:lncRNA from 1 species
AUAGUCUUGGUCACAGUUACUCACAUGAAGAACUUCUACACUGAAACUGAAGUACUGUUGCAGGACAAUCAUACAGCUAAGUGAGUGAAUAAAUUAAUAAAUAAAUAAAUAAAUAAAUCCCAUAUGUACAUACUGAUGCAGCUAAGUCACUAUGUGACAAGGCACCAACAAGGCAGGUGGAGAGGCAUGGUGACACUCCCCAGAAAAAGUCCCUUGGUCAACACUGUUUUGAAGUUUCAUGGAGAAAAAUGGCUUUUUGUUUGCACAUGUGUUGCCCACCUCAUGCAAAUUAUUUGUUCAUCCUUUUUCCAAAUGCUUCAAAAGCAUUUUGCUGACCAGUUUAUAUGGGUGCCUGCAAAUGCAAGCAAAAAACUAUAAUAUUAUUAUUCCAAUCAUUGUUGGAAUUAAUAUUGGUGUCUUAUUGCUGAUUCCAGGUUUCAGGGUUGGACCCUGUAAAAUAGUCAACAGAUAUGGUGGGAGACUUUCUUCACACACCCUUGUGGUCAACUUUGCUGGGCCAUAUUAUUUGCCUUUUUUUAUUUUUUAUUUUUCAUGUUUCGUUUUUCUUUUUGCCCUCUUAUCAUAGUGCCAGCAAAUCACGUCCAACUCACUCAAAAACUAGAGGGGGGCAUUACAGAAUAGAAAUAAUGAGGCACAUUAUUAUAUUAUACAGCAUUGUUUGUAAGGAAACAUUCUUUAUCUCUACAGAAGAGAUAACAUGCAGCAGUAAAGUUACCUAUUUUCCCUUCUUCUGCCUUAUUUUUGUAAAAUGUUAAGAAUAGUAGCUUAAGAGGUUUCUGAGGACCAAUGGAAGUCAACUAAUGUGUUUUUCUGCAAGAUGGGGGGACUUAUCUCUUGAAAGAAGUCAACACCACCUAAAUCAUGAAAACGGGGUUGGUUUGCUAGAUUUUGAUUCAUUCAUGUGAACAUGAUGAUUUCUUAUCAAUUACAGUCAACCAUGUGAAUUGAAAUGCAAUUGGUAUAAAGGAGAGGCAUCUAAUUCCAAUUAUUGUGUUUUGUUCUUUUCUACUCCUACAAAUGCAUACAAAAGAAAGUUUUGGUCAUAAGGAUUGUUGAGAAACACAAAUUUGUACCUUAUCUGGAAUGUUGUAUAA